AGUCAGAGGAGCGCAUUUUCAGGAGUAUGGCAAGGUUAGGCGGCGGCCGCCAGAGAGCUUUGCCGGAAAGGGGAAACGCGCCGAAAGCGGAGUUCCCGCCGAAGGAACCGCCGCUUGGGUAUACGGUGAAUAACCGUAUAACUGUCGCCUGUCAUGGGGAUGAUAGGCGGAGUGCUGCUGGU
rnacentral:ncRNA from 1 species